GAGGAUGUUCGAAGCGUGGGAAAUUGUUGCCUUCAGUUGUAGUCGUGAGUAAAGCACUGUAACACAAACUUCUCAUUCUAAAAUACUUGUUAAGGUCAACGAAAGGUCAAUGACGAUGUACGUGGAUUUCUUGCAAUGUAUAAUAAAUCAUAUCUCACAUGCACCUUUCGAAACUAUACCGAAUGUAAUCCAAUCUUUGUGUGAACCAUGUUGUAUGAUGUGAGGAACGGUACCGAUUUAUGUGCUCUGAGCUCCAGUAGUUAGCAAAAGUUGCGAAGGAAAUCGCGCAAUGGAUAAAAAAUUUGAUAGCAAUGAAAUUGUAGAUAUGAUGGGGACAAGUACCGAAAGAGUAAAGAGGGAGACAGAAAGGAAGUGGUCUAGGACGAUGAAAAGUAAAACCAUUAGUAUACAAGCGACGGCAGGGAAUACACCUCUUCAGAUUAUCUGAAAGAUGUCGAAAAAGGCAUGAAGUAUACAGCCGAGGGCCGAAGGGCAACUUUAGUGCGAUGUGAUUCAAUGUAGGCUAAGUUCAAACCAGCGCAUUUUCGGUUUCAAAAUGGCUCGCAACAGACCGCGUGAAGGUGUUUCCCGUGAUAGCAGACAACUUCACAGAUCAAGCUGUGUGCUGUUUCGUUUCUUUCUCGCUAAUGCAAUCGAGGAAGUCAUCAUUGCGGUUUAAGGUGAAAUAGCGCACCAUCAAUGAAAAAUAGUAUAUACAAAAUAUAUAUAUAUAUAUACACAUAUGCAGUUUCUGUGACCGCAAAGGUGCUAUUCGAUUACAAAAGCCUCAUGUUGCAGUAGCAAAAUCAAAGCGGCAACUCGCUUGAAGAGCAAUUAAGGAGCUCAGAUACACUAUGUAAAGUUUGCUUGGAUUCCACAUCACACGGGAACUUCUUAAUGCGUCGCCGAUUGCGUAAGGAUUUGCCUCGAAAAUCCAAGAACUCCCCGGAAAUCAGUCCUCACCAAUCAAACCGUCACUGCAUUCUACAUCUUAAGCGGAGAUGUCAGGGUAGACUCUUCUCUGCAUACGUUAGGGUUGUACCACUCAAUAAUUUUCUUCCCUCGUUGUGUACAACCUCUACCUUCUCAAAUUUCAAUCAGAAGGUUAGUCCAAUUCUUCUCACACAAAGGAUUGUAUUAUCGAGGUCAUUAAUAAGAACUUAUUGAGGAAAAUUAAGCGGAAACGUCUUCCUGAGCGCAAUGUUGUUUGAAAGCAUCGUGCGCAUUUAUUAUUAUUCCAAAUUAACCAUCUGUAAGUUUAAAAAUAAACUGACUGACAAAGACAUCAUUCUUGAUAAAAGGAGGAAUACGCAAUAGUACACUAUUCUAGUUACGAUUGGCGUUGUACUCAAAAUCUUACUUUAUAAAUCUCACUUAAACACGCAAAGCUUACCUGAUUUACACUAUGUUUUCUUGGGCUUUAUGAUAAGAAAAAAGCACAACAAAAUCUAUAAUUUGUUUUUUGUUCGUAGUUUUGUGAGGCGUCUUCUUU
rnacentral:lncRNA from 1 species